rnacentral:lncRNA from 1 species
ACAAGCAGAGGGACGAGACAACACUUGCCCACAACAGCGACUUAGCGGAUUUGCUAAGCAGAGCCUCGGAGGAUAAAGUGUACAAAUCCCGAGCUAUGUCGGGAUGCAGCCCUCCGCGGACGAACCUGGCCGCACAAUCGCCGUCGGCCCACACCCGGCUGCCCCGGGUGAGACCGUCCCACCGGCCCACUAACGGGUCAAUGGCCGCGCCGCGCGGAAGAGCGCCCACCU